GAUGAACGCUGGCGGCGUGCCUAAUACAUGCAAGUCGAGCGAAUGGAUUAAGAGCUUGCUCUUAUGAAGUUAGCGGCGGACGGGUGAGUAACACGUGGGUAACCUGCCCAUAAGACUGGGAUAACUCCGGGAAACCGGGGCCAAUACCGGAUAACAUUUUGAACCGCAUGGUUCGAAAUUGAAAGGCGGCUUCGGCUGUCACUUAUGGAUGGACCCGCGUCGCAUUAGCUAGUUGGUGAGGUAACGGCUCACCAGGGCAACGAUGCGUAGCCGACCUGAGAGGGUGAUCGGCCACACUGGGACUGAGACACGGCCCAGACUCCUACGGGAGGCAGCAGCAGGGAAUCUUCCGCAAUGGACGAAAGUCUGACGGAGCAACGCCGCGUGAGUGAUGAAGGCUUUCGGGUCGUAAAACUCUGUUGUUAGGGAAGAACAAGUGCUAGUUGAAUAAGCUGACACCUUGACGGUACCUAACCAGAAAGCCACGGCUAACUACGUGCCAGCCGCCGCCGUAA
rnacentral:rRNA from 1 species